rnacentral:rRNA from 1 species
UACAGAGGUGGCAAGCGUUGUUCGGAAUUACUGGGCGUAAAGGGCGCGUAGGCGGCCAUCUAAGUCAGACGUGAAAUCCCCCGGCUUAACCUGGGAACUGCGUCUGAUACUGGAUGGCUUGAGUGCAGGAGAGGAACGCGGAAUUCCAGGUGUAGCGGUGAAAUGCGUAGAUAUCUGGAGGAACACCGGUGGCGAAGGCGGCAUCCUGGACCAACACUGACGCUGAGGAGCGAAAGCCAGGGGAGCAAAGCGGG